AGAGCUAAUACAUGAACAAGUGUUCCAACCUCAGCUUGCUGACGGAAGGAUCGCAUUUAUUAGUACAAGACCAAUGAUUCUUAUUCACCUAGAACCCUGUUCAGUGAUUUCGGUCGCUGUCUAAGGACUAGCAGUGGGGAUCUUAGCAACUUCGGUUGCAUUUCUUGUGAUGACUCUGAAUAACUGAGCAAAUCGUAUGGCCUCUGAGCCGACGAUGUAUCCCUCAAGCAACUGCCUUAUCAACUGUCGAUGGUAGGUUAUGCGCCUACCAUGGUUGUAACGGGUAACGGGGAAUUAGGGUUCGAUUCCGGAGAGGGAGCCUGAGAAACGGCUACCACAUCUAAGGAAGGCAGCAGGCGCGCAAAUUACACAAUCCCAGUACGGGGAUGUAGUGACGAAAAAUAACAAUACGGGACUCUAUUGAGGCCCCGUAAUUGGAAUGAGUACAAUUUAAAUCCUUUAACGAGGAUCUAUUGGAGGGCAAGUCUGGUGCCAGCAGCCGCGGUAAUUCCAGCUCCAAUAGCGUAUAUUAAAGUUGCUGCGGUUAAAAAGCUCGUAGUUGGAUUUCAGUCGAACCUAUGGGGUCCACUGAUUAAAGGGUUAGAUGGUGAUGUUAGGUUUCUUGCUUGUGUCUACGGAUGCUAGCUUGAACCUUCAUUCCUCUUUCCUGGUGGUUACAUUCAUAGUGUUUAGACAGAAAAUUGCUCGAUAUUUGCUAUCAAUGCUCUUUACCGAGUGUUGAUUCAAGCGAUCGAGACUUUUACCUUGAAAAAAUCAGAGUGCUCAAAGCAGGCGUCCAAAACCUCGAAAGAGGUGCCUAAAAACGGUAUGGUCAACCAUCUAUAUGAUGCGUACCACUACCUUAACUUGAAUGAUCUUGCAUGGAAUAAUGGAAUAGGACCUUGGUUCUAUUUUGUUGGUCUUAAGAAUCCAAGGUAAUGAUUAAGAGGGACAGACGGGGGCAUUUGUAUUGCGGCGCUAGAGGUGAAAUUCUUGGACCGUCGCAAGACAAACUACAGCGAAAGCAUUUGCCAAGAAUGUUUUCAUUAAUCAAGAACGAAAGUUAGAGGUUCGAAGGCGAUCAGAUACCGCCCUAGUUCUAACCAUAAACGAUGCCAACCAGCGAUCAUUCUGAGUAACUAAUUUCAUGACUCGAAUGGAAGCUUCCGGGAAACCAAAGUUUUUGGGUUCCGGGGGAAGUAUGGUUGCAAAGCUGAAACUUAAAGGAAUUGACGGAAGGGCACCACCAGGAGUGGAGCUUGCGGCUUAAUUUGACUCAACACGGGAAAACUCACCCGGCCCGGACACUGAGAGGAUUGACAGAUUGAGAGCUCUUUCUUGAUUCAGUGGGUGGUGGUGCAUGGCCGUUCUUAGUUGGUGGAGUGAUUUGUCUGGUUAAUUCCGAUAACGAACGAGACUCUAGCCUACUAAAUAGACUUGCAGUUUACACUGCAGUACUCCCCCUUAGUCAACCUGUGGGUGGUAGUAUCUCUUGAUGGUUUCGGCUGUUGAGGGCUCUGCUGCUAUUAGCCUACAGAAUUGGCUAGGGUAAGGAUGCUGUAGCACUGUAAGGACUUCUUAGAGGGACAAGCGGCGCUCGCAGCCGCACGAAACAGAGCAAUAACAGGUCUGUGAUGCCCUUAGAUGUCCGGGGCCGCACGCGUGCUACACUGAAGUGGUCAUCGUGCAUACUGUUUCCUGCUCCGAAAGGAGUGGGUAACCGCUUGAACCCAUUUCGUGAUGGGGAUUGGGCAUUGUAAUUAUUGCCCAUG
rnacentral:rRNA from 2 species